GUUUAAGGUUGCAACUUUUGAUGAAGGAAAGCUUGAAUUUUUAUUUUAUUUUACUUUAUUAUGUGACAUAAUAAAGAAUGGCAAAAUAUUUUCGAUGUCAAUCCUUUUAUUUGUUUUUAGGGUUUCAAAAUUGCCAACCAGCCGUCUAUAACAAAAUUUUAUCUGUAGGGCAAGGAAAAAAUAAUUCUUUCUCUCAACCAAGAAUUAGGGUUUCUUCGUUGCCCCCAAUUCAGCAUUGUCACCGGCUCCGCCUUUGUCACCACCGCUGACGCUGUCGCCACUACGGCCACUGUCCCUCUCUCUUCUCGAUAAGCCUAGUCAUCGCUGAACUCCCGAUCUAGAUCUGCUUCUCCGUCUAGCUCUCACUCUCGCUCUUGGUCUAGAUCCUUAUCCUCUUCCUCUCCUUCUCUCAGCUUUAGCCCUCGAAGUCGCAGCCCUCAUUCUCAGCGUCAAAGGUCACUUUUUUACUUCUCUCUUCAUAGUUUUUGCACUCUAGAAAUUGUUCAUAAUGAUUUAAUAAAUGGCCUGGUUUUGAGAGGGUUCACUAGGUCUUAGGCUCUUAGCUUCUUGAUGAUAGAUUAUGGAGUGAAAGAAAAGAACUAUUGAACUGCGGUAAAGUUUAAUCUCCAAAUUUCCUUAUGGCCUUCAGUUGUAAGCAAUUUUGGUACUUUUGCUUUUGAAUUGAAACUAACUGUGCUGUUAUUCUCAUUGUUUGUGCUUUUAUAUCGAGGAAAUAGGCUGACUGCCAAAAAUUGUAAAGAUACACAACAUAGAUACCUUCAAUCUGCUAUGCUGAUAAAGCCAACUGCUUGCUAGAAGGGAAAAUGAAUAUCAGCUUAUAGUGUUGAUGUCUAGUUUCUCUUGUUUUGUUUAAACACUGUCCUCAACGGUGGAUGAAGUCAACAUUCUUGUGGUUUUUCUUAAAUAAUGUUCUCUAUUUCAUGUUUUGUCGCAGAUCUACUGGAAACACUAUAAACAUAGGCCAUAGUGGUGGACUCUCUGGAAAGGUGAUACUUUAAUGUGCUUUGUGAAGAAGGCUUUGCUAGAUGAAAUUGCUGCUAACUCCAUAUUCGUUCCUCAUUUUGUCAAUUCACCUGAUAAGAAAAUUUGCAACCAUGCAACCUCGCCAGGCCAAAACUGCUUUUGAUUCAACACCAUGCUGAAUUUUGAUACCGCUUCAAGUUUUAUUUGUGCCAGAAUUUUGUUUAGAAGCAGUGUAUUACAGUCCCCUGGAUCAAAACAUUCUGACUUGAUUUCUAAUCAGAGAGAUGAUUAUAUCAGUUUAAUUAAAUACUCAUUUAAUUAUAAGGAAGCUAAUCUGCCGGACUUCAAUGAUUGGCUCUAGCUUCAUUUCAAUCUACUCCCUGCUCGGUACUAACCCUAAACCUAUAUUUCUGUUUUUGUUUGAUUCUGUAAUUUUUUCUUUUUGAACUAUCUAAAAUGAUUUUUUGGUUGCUGAUGAUUGGAACAAAAAGUUUGAGAUAAGAUUCAUGAAUCUUACAAUUGGUGUAAGAUUUAUGGUUAUCAUCCCCUUUUUAAAAAAUUCAUUUUGUCUUUAACAAACAAGAAACAAAAAGGAGUUCAAAUCAAAACAGCGAAGCAGUUGUGUAAAGAUAUGCAUUGGAUGUGAACGUGGAGCAGGCAGAAGAUGUGCUAACACAUAAAAGAUUACUACAUUUGGCUGAAGACCACGCUAAUCGUCUUGUUUUUCAAGUUUGAAUUGUGCAGGUAAACAUUUCUGCAUGUCUUCCCUUUCUAUUUACUGGAACUUAGUAGGAAGGGAUUUCUAUUUUCUAGUCUACUACUUCAACUUUAAUGUGGAAUACCUCAUUAGCAUAAUGAAAUCCUGGAGAUCAAUAUAGCAUAGAUCUAACAUGAUUAGUAGUGACUGAUGUCUGUCAAGUUGCAAUUUUGUGUGAUGCUGGCAUCUUCUAUAAGUCUUUUCUGUCUACCCCACGCAUUCCAUUGGCCCUGUUCAUUUAUAUUCUUAUAUGAAAGAAGAUGCAGAAAGUUCUUAUCAUUCAAAUAGAUAUGGGUAAGGCUAAUUAUAGUUAAAGUUAUAUGUGCAUUGGUUGUUUUUCGGCUCUUCUUUCUUGUUCCUUCUAGAUUCAAACUUCACUGUGGUUUUCUUUUUGGGGAUUCAUGCUGUGCUGUUUCUGUCUUUGGAUACUAUUAUUCAAAGCAAUGGGUGUUGUAGUCCAAAUGUUCACUCUUGUCCCACCAAAUCUUUAUGUGUUUCAAUUGCUGACAAUGAACGUAAAGCUGACUCUGGGGCCUCUGAAAUACCAAAAUCUAGCAGUAAGUACAAUAAUUACACUGAAGCACAUGCUGCUUUGUCAUCCUUUGAAAAUGCGCUUGCAGUAUUAAUGGGGAUGAAGGAGAGCAUUGCUUGUGAAACACACAUAGCAAUUGAUUGUGCAAAAUGGGUGUCUCUGCUAAGGAAGAAGCAGCUGAUCAUUCAAGUUCUUAUAGUCAUCAGAAUUGUAGUGAUUUUAAUCUCAAUGGAGUUAUUGCUACGAAUAAAGUGGUUCUCAUGAAGAAGAAAAUUAGAUCGAUAUUAGAUGACUUUGAUUGUAUAUUGAUUCACUGUCGUACAAAUUUGUCAAGUUUUUUGACCAAAAAACUAGAAUACUUAAAAAGAAUUGAUAUGUUAAUUAUGAAAGAUGUUUGUUUGUCGUUUGAAAUUAGUAUAUGUCAAUGCUUAUUUG